AUUGAACGCUGGCGGCAGGCCUAACACAUGCAAGUCGAACGGCAACAGGAAGCAGCUUGCUGCUUCGCUGACGAGUGGCGGACGGGUGAGUAAUGUCUGGGAAACUGCCUGAUGGAGGGGGAUAACUACUGGAAACGGUAGCUAAUACCGCAUAACGUCGCAAGACCAAAGAGGGGGACCUUAGGGCCUCUUGCCAUCGGAUGUGCCCAGAUGGGAUUAGCUAGUAGGUGGGGUAACGGCUCACCUAGGCGACGAUCCCUAGCUGGUCUGAGAGGAUGACCAGCCACACUGGAACUGAGACACGGUCCAGACUCCUACGGGAGGCAGCAGUGGGGAAUAUUGCACAAUGGGCGCAAGCCUGAUGCAGCCAUGCCGCGUGUAUGAAGAAGGCCUUCGGGUUGUAAAGUACUUUCAGCGGGGAGGAAGGGAGUAAAGUUAAUACCUUUGCUCAUUGACGUUACCCGCAGAAGAAGCACCGGCUAACUCCGUG
rnacentral:rRNA from 1 species